CUAAGAGUGAGAAGAAGAGCAUGGCCGCUAAUUUGGACACACCUCUAAUCCUUCACCUUCUCCAUCCAAAUCCUAAUCCUAACCCUAACCCUAACCCUAGAUUUUACACAGAAAGAAACUUCUUGCUAAGCCCUAUACCAGAGCCAUGGCCCAGUUGCAGAGCAAACCCUAAUUCUGUUCCAGCAGAAACCCUAGGCACCGACGCAUCAGAUGAAGUGCCAGCUACGUGGAAGGAUCGAAGGAAGACAGUGAAAGUCGCUUGGGAGAAGCUUGUGCGGUGGUCUAGGUCAUGGAGGACUAUAAAUGCUAGGGCAAAGAUGGAUGUGCUUGAGCGAACCAGAAAGGUUGCAGUCCUUGGCGGGGGAUCUUUUGGCACCGCAAUGGCAGCUUUACUUGCAGGGAAUAAGGCUGAUAUGGAGGUUACUAUGCUUGUUAGGGAUGAACAUGUCUGCCAAUCAAUCAAUGAAGAAAAUUGUAACUGCAACCACUUACCAGAUUACAAGCUACCUGGAAAUAUUAGAGCUACACUAGAUGCAAAAGAUGCUUUGCAGGGAUCUGAUUUUUGCAUACAUGCGGUUCCUGUGCAGUUCAGUGCAUCUUUUCUACGAGGGAUUUCACGGCAUGUUGAUCCCAAAAUGCCCUUCAUAUCACUGAGCAAGGGCUUAGAACUCAAUACUUUAAGAAUGAUGUCCCAAAUCAUUCCACAAGAAUUGGGAAACCCAAACCAGCCUCUUGUUGUGUUAUCGGGCCCAUCUUUUGCAGUAGAAUUGAUGAAGAAAUUGCCUACAGCAAUGGUGGCCGCAUCAAAGGACAAGAGGUUGGCACUUGCUGCGCAGCAGCUAUUUGCUUCUCAAUACCUGAGGAUCAGCACAUCUAGUGAUGUCACAGGGGUCGAAAUUGCUGGUGCUCUAAAAAAUGUGCUUGCAAUAGCAGCAGGGAUUGUGGAAGGGAUGAAUCUCGGAAAUAAUUGUAUGGCAGCUCUUGUUGCACAAGGUUGUUCAGAGAUACGAUGGUUAGCAACCAAGAUGGGUGCGAAGCCAACAACACUCACAGGUUUAUCAGGAACUGGAGACAUAAUGCUCACCUGUUUUGUUAGCCUUUCAAGAAACAGAACAGUUGGGGUUCGUCUUGGAUCAGGAGAGAAACUUGAUAUGAUUUUAAGUUCCAUGAACCAGCUCUCUUAUAGGUUGCUGAAGGUGUAUCAACUGCAGGCGCUGUUAUUGCCUUGGCACAAAAAUACAAUGUAAAGAUGCCAGUUUUGACGGCUGUGGCUCGGAUCGUGGACAAUGAAUUGACUCCAAAGAAAGCUGUUAUGGAACUGAUGAACCUGCCUCAGAUUGAGGAGGUGUAGGCGCCAAAGUAACAGCAAGUUUUGGGUAUAUACACAAUUCAAUCAUCGUUGAGGUCUGUAAAUCUUUCCGGCAAGCAUGUGCACUGAAGGAGGAAAAUCUUUAUACCAUCUAGAAUUGCAUUUCCAAAAUGUUAUUCAAUUCAAAUGAAAAUAGAAACUGCACCGAGACUGUAAAAUUUGGAACGGUUGGUCUUGUAGUAGAACAUUGCAGAAAUUGAAAAUGUUCUCAAAUGAUAUUGAAAAUUGAGUGGUAUGCAGAAGGAAAAGAGAUUGCAGAAAUUGCUGAAAUCGAAAAUGUUCUCAAAUGAUAUUGAAAA